rnacentral:lncRNA from 1 species
AGUAAAAGGAAAAAGGAAGAGGCUAGGUAACCUAGGGAUUAAUAACUGCAGGAAGCAGCUCUCGCUCCCAAGGCUGACCAACAGGAGGGAACAGGUGGAGUUGCCUGUACUGAGGAGCUUGGAGGAGGGGCCCCACGGGGCUGGUGCUUGGAUUUCUGAGGACAGCUCUGCCUGGCUCAGAUCUCGGAUGAGGGGGUUGCUGUCUGGCUGGUGUUUCCACCAAAGGGGCGUGGCUCUACAGGUGCUCAGACCUCCCUGGGGUGCAGCCCAGCAGGUGAGGGGGUGUGGCAUGGCUGCUGCUGGCACCUGGGGCUUGAGGGGAGGCACAGCAAGGUUGGUACUGAGAAUACUCAGAAGCUGGAGCUAGGGCCAGUUAUGUGCUGCUACUGAAGUAAAAUUGAAAACAGGAAGUGGAAAACAAGGUAGAAGUCCCUUCUUUUCUUCUGCUUUGUGAUCUCCUUCUAAUGCCUCAGAUUGGAAAACCUAACAGGAAGCCAGCUAGCUGGGAGGUGGAGAGAUUUCGUUUGCAUCAUCCCAACCCCAGGAUUACAGAGAAGAGCAUAGAAAGAUAUCUUGGAGAUCACAGAUAAAUCGCCAGCACAGACAACAUCAUGUCCAGUUAGGAGGCCAUGGCAGUAGCCCAGGAGAGAGAAGAUGAUGGCCCAGACAUUUGGUCAGAGACAGGGUUUCACCAUGUUGACCAGGCUGGUGGAACUCCUGAGCUCAAGCAAUCCUCCUGCCUUGGCCUCCCAAAGUGCUGGGAUUACAGGAGUGAGCCACCACGCCCGGCCUGAGAUGAACAUUUGAAUUGGUAGAUGGAGUAAAGCAGACUCCCCCUUACCAAUACGAAUGGAUGUUAUCCGAUCAGCUAAGGUCUGAAUAGAACAAAAAGGCUGACCCUCCCACGAGCAAGAGAGAACUCCUCCUGCCUGUCUUCAAGCUGGGACAUUGGCUUUUUUUCUUGUUUUCAGACUGGAACUGAAAUGCUGGUUUGUCCUGCGUCUCUAGCCUGCCAGCGUUCAGACUCAAACCACACUUUUGGCUCUCUUGGGUCUCCAGCUUGCUGACUACAGAUUUGGGGAUUCAACAACCUUCAUAAUCAUGUGGGCCAACUCCUUAUAACAAAUAAAUAAAUAUAGAUAUGAACAUAGAUCCUAUUGGUU